AACGAACGCUGGCGGCAUGCCUAACACAUGCAAGUCGAACGAGACCUUCGGGUCUAGUGGCGCACGGGUGCGUAGCGUGGGGAACUGCCCUUAGGUUCGGAAUAACUCCCCGAGAGGGGUGCUAAUACCGGAUAAAGUCUUCGGACCAAAGAUUUAUCGCCUUUGGAUGGGCCCGCGUUGGAUUAGCUAGUUGGUAGGGUAAAAGCCUACCAAGGCGACGAUCCAUAGCUGGUCUGAGAGGAUGAUCAGCCACACUGGGACUGAGACACGGCCCAGACUCCUACGGGAGGCAGCAGUGGGGAAUAUUGGACAAUGGGCGAAAGCCUGAUCCAGCAAUGCCGCGUGAGUGAUGAAGGCCUUAGGGUUGUAAAGCUCUUUUACCCGGGAUGAUAAUGACAGUACCGGGAGAAUAAGCUCCGGCUAACUCCGUG
rnacentral:rRNA from 1 species